UACGAAGGGGGCUAGCGUUGCUCGGAAUCACUGGGCGUAAAGCGCACGUAGGCGGCUUCUUAAGUCAGGGGUGAAAUCCUGGAGCUCAACUCCAGAACUGCCUUUGAUACUGGCGACCUUGAGUCCGGGAGAGGUGAGUGGAACUGCGAGUGUAGAGGUGAAAUUCGUAGAUAUUCGCAAGAACACCAGUGGCGAAGGCGGCUCACUGGCCCGGUACUGACGCUGAGGUGCGAAAGCGUGGGGAGCAAACAGG
rnacentral:rRNA from 1 species